ACUAAAGAAACUUCGUAUGUACCUCUUAUGCCCCCCAAAUAAUUUUAGAGUACGGAACAAUUUUAUAGUUCGUAUGGGCCUUUCUGAAAUUAAACUGACAAGAGGAAAGCAUGAACUGACAUAAGAAAUAUGAACAGGAGAAUUUAACACAGCAUCAGACCUCUCCUGAAGAAAUAGGGUAACAAAGCCCCAGGGUUUGAUAUGACGUCGAGCAAAGAUAGAAUACUAUGUUUACAGAGUCAAUACAUCAUGUAUGCCAAUGAGCAGAAGUGAAGCAUGCUUCUUCCACACAUUGUUUGACAUGAAAAAUGAAUAGAAUCAGCACUCCAUGGCUCUUUCAGAAAAUACCCACUUAACUCUCAAGAAUAGCCCUAUAAAAGGACGCUUAUCAAACUCUCUAGAAUAAAAUCAGUUCUAAAUAUGAA